ACUACUUUGGCAGAUUAGUGCUGUAAAUUUAGAAUUUAUAUAUGUAAUAUAUUUUACAGGUAGUA
rnacentral:tRNA from 1 species